CGCUGGCGGCGUGCCUAACACAUGCAAGUCGAACGCGAACGGGUCUUCGGACCCUAGUAGAGUGGCGCACGGGUGAGUAACACGUGGGCAAUCUACCCAGGGAUUUGGGAUAACCAGGGGAAACCCUGGCUAAUACCGAAUACGUCCAUGAGGCCUUCGGUCCUCAUGGAGAAAGGUGGCCUCUUCUCGAAAGCUGCCGUUCCUGGAUGAGCCCGCGGACCAUUAGCUUGUUGGUGAGGUAACGGCUCACCGAGGCCAUGAUGGUUAGCUGGUCUGAGAGGAUGAUCAGCCACACUGGGACUGACACACGGCCCAGACUCCUACGGGAGGCAGCAGUGGGGAAUCUUGCGCAAUGGGGGAAACCCUGACGCAGCAACGCCGCGUGGGUGAUGAAGGCCCUUGGGUCGUAAAGCCCUGUCUGGAGGAAAGAAUCCCGCUCUCGCUAAUACCGGGAGUGGAUGACGGUACCUCUGAAGGAAGCACCGGCUAACUCCGUG
rnacentral:rRNA from 1 species